UCAGAGAAACCCCAAGAUUAAUAAAAAUGGGCAAUCCUGAGCCAAAUCAAGUUCAACCAAGUAUUUUGAAAAUUUCAAGU
rnacentral:sRNA from 1 species